rnacentral:rRNA from 1 species
UACGGAGGGGGCUAGCGUUGUUCGGAAUUACUGGGCGUAAAGCGCACGUAGGCGGAUAGUUAAGUCGGGGGUGAAAUCCCGGGGCUCAACCCCGGAAUGGCCUUCGAUACUGGCUGUCUUGAGGUCGAGAGAGGUGGGUGGAAUUCCGAGUGUAGAGGUGAAAUUCGUAGAUAUUCGGAGGAACACCAGUGGCGAAGGCGGCCCACUGGCUCGAUACUGACGCUGAGGUGCGAAAGCGUGGGGAGCAAACAGG